GAUGAACGCUAGCGAUAGGCUUAACACAUGCCAGUCGAGGGGCAGCAUGGUCUUAGCUUGCUAAGACUGAUGGCGACCGGCGCACGGGUGCGUAACGCGUAUGCAACUUGCCUCACAGAGGGGGAUAACCCGUCGAAAGACGGACUAAUACCGCGUACACUCUAUUUUGGGCAUCCAAGGUAGAGGAAAUGAAAUUCGCUGUGAGAUAGGCAUGCGUCCCAUUAGCUAGUUGGUGAGGUAACGGCUCACCAAGGCGACGAUGGGUAGGGGAACUGAGAGGUUGAACCCCCACACUGGUACUGAGACACGGACCAGACUCCUACGGGAGGCAGCAGUGAGGAAUAUUGGUCAAUGGGCGAGAGCCUGAACCAGCCAAGUCGCGUGAAGGAGGACUGUCUUAUGGAUUGUAAACUUCUUUUGUAGGGGAAUAAAGAGGGGCACGUGUGCCCCAGUGAAUGUACCCUACGAAUAAGCAUCGGCUAACUCCGUG
rnacentral:rRNA from 1 species